UACGGGGGGGGCAAGCGGUGUUCGGAAUUACUGGGCGUAAAGGGCUCGUAGGCGGCCAACUAAGUCAGACGUGAAAUCCCUCGGCUUAACCGGGGAACUGCGUCUGAUACUGGAUGGCUAGAGUUUGGGAGAGGGAUGCGGAAUUCCGGGUGUAGCGGUGAAAUGCGUAGAUAUCUGGAGGAACACCGGUGGCGAAGGCGGCAUCCUGGACCAACACUGACGCUGAGGAGCGAAAGCCAGGGGAGCAAACGGG
rnacentral:rRNA from 1 species